rnacentral:lncRNA from 1 species
CUACUACAAAUCACCACCACCUCCUUCGCCAUCUCCUCCACCACCAUAUUACUACAAGUCCCCACCUCCACCAAGUCCAUCCCCUCCACCUCCAUACCAUUACUCAUCACCUCCACCACCUGUGAAAUCCCCACCACCUCCAUAUCAUUAUUCCUCACCCCCACCACCUGUCAAAUCCCCGCCACCUCCAUAUCAUUAUUCGUCACCCCCACCACCAGUGAAAUCCCCGCCACCUCCAUAUCAUUAUUCGUCACCCCCACCACCAGUGAAAUCCCCGCCACCUCCAUAUCAUUAUUCGUCACCCCCACCACCAGUGAAAUCCCCGCCACCACCAUAUCAUUAUUCAUCACCACCACCCCCCGUCAAAUCCCCACCACCUCCUUACCAUUACUCUUCACCACCACCACCAGUAAAAUCUCCACCACCUCCAUAUCAUUAUUCAUCACCUCCACCACCAGUGAAAUCCCCACCACCUCCAUACCACUAUACGUCACCACCACCUCCAGUAAAAUCACCACCACCCCCAUAUCAUUAUUCAUCACCUCCACCACCCGUGAAGUCCCCACCACCACCAUACCACUAUUCUUCACCACCACCACCAGUAAAAUCCCCACCUCCUCCAUACCAUUACUCAUCACCUCCCCCACCUGUGAAAUCACCACCCCCUCCAUACCACUACUCUUCACCACCACCACCAGUCAAAUCCCCACCUCCUCCAUACCACUACUCUUCACCUCCACCACCGGUGAAAUCUCCACCUCCCCCAUACCACUACUCAUCUCCACCACCGCCAGUGAAAUCACCUCCACCACCGUACCACUACUCAUCUCCACCACCUCCCGUGAAAUCCCCACCUCCACCGUACCACUACUCAUCACCUCCACCACCCGUAAAAUCACCACCUCCUCCAUACCACUACUCAUCACCACCACCGCCAGUGAAGUCACCUCCUCCCCCAUACCACUACUCAUCACCACCACCACCAGAAAAAUCACCACCCCCACCAUACCACUACUCAUCUCCCCCACCCCCAGAGAAAUCUCCGCCCCCACCUUACCAUUACUCAUCCCCUCCACCACCCGUAAAAUCCCCAC